GGCCCACCCCCUGACUUCUGGGAACAAGAGAGGAGCUGGAGGUUGAACCAGGUGUCUAAGGUCAAUGAUUGCUUCCAUCAUGCCUGUGUAAUGAAGCCUCUAUAGAAACCCAAAAGGAUAAAGUCUGGAAAGCUUCCAGGUUGCUGAACCCAUGGAGAUGUGGAGAGAUUGGCGUGUCUGGAGUCUGUGCUUUUGCCUCAUGCCUGGUCCUAUGCACCUCUUCUCUCUGGCUGUUCACAAGUUAUAACUAUCCUUUUAUAAUCUAAUAACUCUGAGAUCUCAGACACAGAAAGGAUCCUGAGAAGUCCUUCUCAGGGACUGGGAGAGAGGAUGGUUACUAUUUGGGCCAUAGAUAAAUGAACGGGAACGUCACAAGACAGUACACAGGAAUAAAUGGGAUCAGAUUCAAUACAGACAGGCAUCCUGGCAAAGAAUCAAUCCAAAAGGAAGUACAAAAUUGAUCAGCUUCAGUAUUGGCCACGAGAAAAAAUGUGUGAUAUCUAGGUGGCAGAAGAAAGCACCAACCUUUAAACCUGGGAGGCUGUAUUCAUGAUUGACAAAACUUGGAAGCAACCAAGAUGCCUUUCCUUAAUUAAGGAAAUGGACAAACUGUGCAACAUCCAUACAGCAGAAUAUUAUCCAGCAAUAAAAAAAAUGAGCUAUUAAGCCAGGGAAAAGCAUGGAGGAAACUUUCAUGCAUAUGGCUAAGUGGAAUAAUCUGGUUUGAAAAAACUGUAUGAUUCUGGAAAAAGCACAACUAUAGAAACAGUAAAAAGAUCAGUGUUUGCAAGGGAACAGGGGAUGGGGGAAAAAGGGGGAAGGAGAGAUAAAUAGAUGGAGUACGGGGGAUUUCAGAGUGAUGAAGCUACUCUGCACGGUCCUGUGAUAGGAUUAUGCAUCUGUCAAAAUCCAUAGAACAAUAUAUCAGAAGGUCUGAGCCCUGAUGUAAACAUGGACAUUAGUCAAUAAUUCUCAAUGCUGGUUCGCCAAUCAACCAUAGCAAAUGUGCCCCACUAAGCAAAGUAUCAAUGCUAGAGGGAACUGUGGGGAAAGAGUGUGUGUGGAAAAUCUCUGUACUUUCAGCUCUAUUUUUCUGUAAACCUAAAACUGCUCUAAAAAAUAAAUAUUAAUAAACAAAAUAUCUGAAGCUUAUGGUUGUGAAAAAGCAAGUGACAAAUAUCCUUGCUUCUCCCCACCUCACAUCCAGCAGUCCUUCCUCUCUUCCCCCACACUGGUCAACAGCGACGCCAGUUCCACUAUCAUCAGAUGCCUAGCUGAAGUUCACGGAGGUAGGUGCUAGGAAGACUAACCACCAGCUAUUGUCUUUUCCCUGCCCUUCAGGACUACACACCACUGGCUGUGGGGGCCCAGCUUCCUGGGAGGUGUGGUCCAUGCACCCUCACCAGGACUGCCUGUGACUCUUCUCUGACCCUUUUCAGGAUGUUACUUCCCCAACUUCUGUAAUUGUGUGAGAUCUAAUUCUCUCUAUAAAGUCCUUAUUCCAUGAUAUAUAUCCUGCUUCUGUUUCCCUGGUUGAACCUUAAUGAAUGGGUUUAAAAAUAUCCUCUAUUUCCUAUUCUCAAGACCCCUCAG